UUAACAUGUAGAUGUGUUGUAUUGUGUUUGUAGGUGUUAAAUGUGAUAAAAUGCCAAUCAAGGAGAGCCAUGCUGGUUUGUAAUGGUCAGCAAUGUGGAUUGGUUUCAGCUAAUACCAACAAGGAUACGAGGAGAAGGUAACAAUGGCUACCUCGGUGUCAUCUGUGAUGCCAUCUCCCUUUGCUCCGAAAUCGAGCACAUUGAACAUGGCUGUCUUCAUCGGAUACUCUGUUAUCGGGUUUGGGCUCAGAGUUGCACUCAGCAGGGACAACACUACCCUAACAGCUUGCUGCAAGCUAGUCCAGGAGUUCUGCACCCUCUGCUACAUGCACAUCAACUCGUAACAGUGACAUGAAAGAUUACAAUUCCACGAAAACUCCAUCACAGAGGAGAGGGUUUCUGUAAGUGUGUUUCUUCCUGAUGCAUGCAAAGGCCGAAGUAGGGCACAUGAGUGGGGCAAUGACAACAGCAGCUGCUCCUGAUCACAUGCAGCUGAUCACGGGCGGGAGGAUACUGCUCUGUCCACUCUGGGAGUCAGGUUGAUCCAUUAGUAGCAAUCUGUACCUACGCUAGCAAUCUGUGCAAUCAUGGAGGAUGACAGAAUACAUACUCAAACAUCAGAACAGUGUGCCCUGUAGAAAGAUUCAUGGCUCCCAGAGUUCUAAUGCACAUGCUACUUGGAUCAGAAGGCAUCCAACAAUAGUUCACUUUCCCCAGAAGAAACCCUAAACAUUGAAGAAGAGCCAGGAGUCACACAGAUCAUUCUGGAACAGCUUCAAGAAAUAGCAACCACAACAGUUCUAACCAGGAAAAGAACAAGAAAUGGUUAAUCUGCAGCUCAAGUGAGGACUGUGCCAAGGACUGUCAGUUGUACUUCAUCACCUGCAGCAAAAUGGUUCCAUUCUGAUAUUUAUGUGGGCGAUACACUGAGAUCACCUUCUUUUCUGAUUGAAGCUUCACGAUAGAAAACAAUCAAAGUCUGCUGCCCUGGGCAAGUAAGUGAACAACUAAGCCAUGGGCUCCAUUCUGCUAUAUCUGUGGGCGAUAAGCUGAGAGCACCUUUUCUGAUUGAAGCUUCGUGGCUGAAAACAAUCCAAGUCUGCUGUCCAAGGCAAGUGAAUAACUAAGCCAUGCUUUUAGUGUGGUCUGCACUCUUGUGACCCACAGUACAUACAUGCAUUGCAGUUCUUCAUCUCACCCUGUUCAAAAGAUGAUCAGAACAGAUUGAAAGAAACAAUGGCCUUGACCCAUCA